CGGCUCCCAAUACGGCAGGCUAAAGCGCAUGGCCAAAACCACCCUUUGUUUGCCUUGCGCCUUGCUGGUACUUCGGUAAGUUUAUAAGGCGACUUAAUUGGUACUGGCAGGAUGGCCAUAAAGGCCAAUAUUGUUGGAGGGGGAAUUCUCCCAGCCCUCGGUGGUGGCCUGCUGAGAACGCUGCUGGGUCUCUGCCUUGCUACGUAUCUGACUGGAGGGAGACCGCGGCGAGCUCUGGGGUUGGGGUUCCCGAGAAGCAGGGAGCGCUGCUGGAUCUCCCUAGCCCACUACGCACCCGCGGAGCAGCCUUAUCGAAGCACCCACUCUCCUCGCCUCUCCGAAAUCUGUCCUGGCUGGUAAAGGCAUAAACAACCCAGAAGCUGGUUAACUUCCAGAAACUCUUGCAGUAACUCAAGAGGCUGAUGAAUUGGAUGAAUCAGAGGAAACAGUUUUUCACCUGUAGCCCAUCAGUUGGAAUAACUCAGCUCAGAAGGCUUGAUCCUGAGCAGCGCUGAAUCUCUCCAGCAGUCAUUGAAAUCAAAUGGAGUUGCAGGUUGCCAGUGCCUCUUAUGAUCAGGAACAGAGGCUCAGAUCUCAGAGCCCUCAGCUCCCUCUCUGAAACGACAGUUGUGAGCUGCUUUCACAAGGGACUUCACCAGCUCAGCAACACGCACGUUCAGCUUGCCCAAAGCCUUUGCGCUAACCUCCAGAUGCAUUCUUGGAUGCUGUUAGAAGGACAGGCAGUUGCAAAACUCAGAUCUUUUUUUUUCUUCUCCCUCUUCCCUGGAAUUGGGAACCAUUUUGUGCACCGAAAAUAGAAGUAUCAGUAAGCAGCUCAAAGGGACUUAAUCCCCUAGAUGCAGAUGAAAUCAAUUAAAAAUUUUGAAACUGGCAGCCUCUUAUAUUUUAAUUGCACAGUGCGGUGAUAUUCUGCCGAAAGCAAUUACAUUGUAGAUCUUCCCACACACAGACAGCCCCAGUUGUGCUCCAUGAAGACUAGUGGUUAAGUGUAUCAGGAAUCACGUCUGUGUUUCAAAAAUCUGUUUUCAUGAAGGCUUUGAAAUAAAGUUUCAGCAUUUUUGGACAGAAGGGGGGUUGUGGGCAUUUUCAUUGGGCUAGUCCAAAAUCAUAAAUAAAUCCCAUGUACCCGGAGGAUAAUAGUGGUUUCAUUCCUAUUAAUUAAUCCAUUGCUUUUGCUGCAAGUAUGCUCUUCUGCCUCUUUGACUAUUUUUGAGCAGGCAACUGUUGGAAAAGAUACCCCUGUUCAGCAUCAAAUGAACGAUUCCACUCAAAAGAAAAAUAUUUCCACAGGUUGAACAGGCCUUGAAGCCUGGCCUUCCAAAUUGUGGUUGAAGUGCUCAGAUCCAGU